UGUCCGGAAUUAUUGGGCGUAAAGCGCGCGCAGGCGGUCCUUUAAGUCUGAUGUGAAAGCCCACGGCUCAACCGUGGAGGGUCAUUGGAAACUGGGGGACUUGAGUGCAGAAGAGAAGAGUGGAAUUCCACGUGUAGCGGUGAAAUGCGUAGAGAUGUGGAGGAACACCAGUGGCGAAGGCGACUCUUUGGUCUGUAACUGACGCUGAGGCGCGAAAGCGUGGGGAGCAAACAGGAUUAGAUACCCUGGUAGUCCACCCCGUAAACGAUGAGUGUAAAGUGUUAGAGGGUUUCCGCCCUUUAGUGUGCCAGCAACGCAUUAAGCCAUCCGCCUGGGGAGUACGGCCGCAAGGUGAAACUCAAAGGAAUUGACGGGGGCCCGCACAAGCGGUGGAGCAUGUGGUUUAAUUGGAAGCAACGCGAAGAACCUUACCAGGUCUUGACAUCCUCUGACACUCCUAGAGAUAGGACGUUCCCCUUCGGGGGACAGAGUGACAGGUGGUGCAUGGUGUCGUC
rnacentral:rRNA from 1 species